UUGCACGCUGGCGGCAUGCUUUACACCUGCAAGUCGAACGGCAGCGCGGGCUUCGGCCUGGCGGCGAGUGGCGAACGGGUGAGUAAUACAUCGGAACGUGCCCAGUAGUGGGGGAUAGCUCGGCGAAAGCCGGAUUAAUACCGCAUACGACCUGAGGGUGAAAGCGGGGGAUCUUCGGACCUCGCGCUAUUGGAGCGGCCGAUGGCAGAUUAGCUAGUUGGUGGGGUAAAGGCCUACCAAGGCGACGAUCUGUAGCUGGUCUGAGAGGACGACCAGCCACACUGGGACUGAGACACGGCCCAGACUCCUACGGGAGGCAGCAGUGGGGAAUUUUGGACAAUGGGCGAAAGCCUGAUCCAGCAAUGCCGCGUGUGUGAUGAAGGCCUUCGGGUUGUAAAGCACUUUUGGCGGGAACGAAAAGGACUGUGCCAAUACCACGGUUCGAUGACGGUACCCGCAGAAUAAGCACCGGCUAACUACGUG
rnacentral:rRNA from 1 species